rnacentral:antisense_RNA from 10 species
GGUAACCAAGUAUUACUCUUGGAUCUAAUGUAGGACUGACUAACCUAACUUCUCCACCACCAGGUGCCCAUGUAUCAUAAGCGCCUCCGAUGAACAUCCAAUCAAAAACGAAAAAUAAUGCACCAACGCCUAAAACUAUUAGGUGAUAACCCAAAAUAUUAGUCAUUUGAUUCUUAUCUCUCCA